AUGUCUUCUUGGCCUUUAGGCUAAGAUCAUGUGUAGUAUGUGUUCUUAUCCGUUUAAUUUUUGAUAGGAUGAAGGGAAAUGGCUUCAAAUUGGAAGGGGGAAGAUUU
rnacentral:snRNA from 1 species